AGCUGCAGAGGCCCAGGGAGAGCAGUGCUGAGCUCCCUGCUACAUGAGAUCAAGCUGUGAUCACUUCUAUCAUGAAGAUAAACUGGCCAUUGUUGCCAAAAAUAAAUGUUAGUGUUCCAAAUCCACACUUCAAUAGCACCAGCUCAUUAGAGAUGCAUAUCAUUUGGCUCCAGUCCCACACCUUCCAGCUCGUUAUAAAUAUGCAGUUGCUGCUGGCUCUACCCCAAUCAUCUCUGCAAUCAGAGCUUUUAAUUAGGUUAAUUAAAUUGUAUCAAACCUCGCAGGGACGCAGUUCACUGAUGCUGAUGAGGCAGCCAAAACAGACCUUAACUCCAGCUCUAAUGAAGGCCCUGCUGCAGCUAAUGACAAUGCAUAAUAAAUUAGAGCUUCCCUAGAAAGCUCACCUUCCUGCUCUCGAGGCACCAAAAGCUGCUGGGAUAGAAAUCCAGCAAAUAUUUGCUGUUUUCAACUUGGCCUGCUCUGAUGAUGCUCAUCUCCCAGCAGAGACAGCAGCAGUGCCCUUGGGCUGCUCACCUCGGCUGAACCCCACGUGAGGACAACAGGAUCUGGGGGUGGCUGUGUCCCUACAUCACUUCCCUGGGGAGCACUGGGACAGCAGCACUUGGAGCAGAGCCCCCCAGCACCUGGGCAUGAGAUAAACAAGAGACCGAUUCCUGAAGUGCAUGAAAACUGCAGAGAGGCCUCCCAAAAUGCAACUUGUUUGGUCAUGUUUACCCACGAGGAGCUGAUGGUUUUCCCAGCAUAAAAAGGUGUUACUGCAGGUGUGAUUGAAGUAAUUAAAUUAAGGAGAACAGAUCCAAACACGCUUAUAAUGUGACUCAGACAUUUAGAGAGAAAACUUGUCCAACUGCUUUACUGACAAGCCAAACCAAGGAAGCUGGCAAGACGGAAGAGACCAGAGGGUGUUUGUUAUCUGACAUCUGGUUCAGAAAACAACAGGUUACAAAUUUACCACACGGCAGUUUAAGACAAGUUUAUUUUUACCUUACACACACUGGCUUCAGCUUAUAGAACUGCCCAAUAUCUAAACUAAUUAAGAGGUGUUUCCAGUAUUAAAGCCAAGUUUAGCUACUUCUAGGACGGAGUGCUGUAAUAUUAAAACAUCAGAAUCAAAGUUGAUUGUGCAAGUAAUUCAUCCUGAAGAAUUAUUACUUAUGCUAGAGUGUUGUUACUGUUGGUAGUACAGUAGAGACGAAUAAACUUAAUGAAUGACUUCAAUAGAAACGUUGGCUUCAGGUUCAGGGAUGCAGAUUUCCUUUACGGGAGUCAAGGAAACAUCCUCAUCAGGUAUGUGCCACUUCUUUCUGGCCCAAACUUCACAGCUCUUGGUUUAUAACCCACAGUGGACUGGGACACAACCAAACACGUUCUCCACUUUGGUCCAGAAGAUUUGACUGCAGUCUCCAGGUAAGUGAUGACUACAUGAUAUCCACUACAGCCUUGUGUCACCAAGAAAAACUCCAAGACAACAGAACAUCUUUGUUCUCCUAUACAAUGGUCCAGUGAACACUUCUCACUGCUUAUUAUGUAUUAAAAAAGUAAAGCACUAAGAACAAACUACCUUUAAGUGGACGGGAUCAGUAGCUCCUUUCACUGUUUCUUUCUGCAGUGUUGCAAUGGUUGGUCGGUUGUAGACUCUGUCUACUAGCUCUGGAACAGUAUUCAGAUGAGUUGCAAUAUCAAACUCUUGAACUAUAAAUUUAUAAAAAGAAUUAAAAAGAUUUUAGG